CGAAUUGGCGGGACAUCUGUUUGUAUUUAAACUACUUGUUGUAUUAAAUUUUAUGAAGGAUUCUAUGUCAUCCAUCGGUACAUGCGUUUGAUUGCUUAAGACGACAUAUAUUUAAUUAAUUUAUUUUUUCUGCCGAUGUUUUCACAUCAGCUUUUUAUUACAUGCACGUUAUUGUACGGGUAGCAUAAUGUAAUGAAUCACUGUGAUGCUUUCGACUACUGGGGAAAAGGCACCAAAGUCACUGUCGGUGCUAAGCCUCCAUCUUACAUUUACCCCCUUCACCAAUGUGGGUCUGGAGACUCUCGUGGUGACAUCAGCCUCGGAUGCAUUGCCAGCGGUUUUUCACCCCUGGAUGCCUUGAGCUUUAAGUGGAAUGACGGUAACGGUAACGCGCUGCGUGACUUACAUCAAUACUCACCGGUCAUGGUCAGUGGAAGCACCAUGAUGGUCAGUCACAUCACUGUCAAAGCGGCAGACUGGAACAGUAAGAAAUCCUACAGGUGUGCUGCACAUCACCAGACCCUUGGACCUGGGAAGUCAGAGACAUUACAGAAGCCAGACCAGCCCUGCAGGCUCUAUUUGGAUGUGACCCUGAAGCCCCCAAGAGUAAGAGAGAUGUUCAUAGAUAACAGGGCUGUGCUGGAAUGCAUCAUCUCAGGAGAGGAUAAGGCAGUAAGAGAAGCUGAAGUGACCUGGAUGUUGGACAGUGUACAGGUGACAGAUAAGAUUACACAGAUCGGUACAGAAAAGGCAGAUCAGCUCUUCAGAAAGAGCAGCAUCCUGACAACAAAUAACUGGGAAGGUGGCAAAACAGUGAAGUGCAGUGUGCAACAGAAGGGUGGUCCAACUAUCACAAAGACCCUCAGUUUUGGGCAAAAAGGUACGACGAAACCUACAGUCUCCAUCCAAACACCAUCUCCUGAAGACCUUGAUAGAAAAAGUGAAUUCUUCCUGCUCUGCCUGGUAACAGGCUUCUAUCCUGAGGAAAUAUAUAUCAUGUGGCAAGUAAAUGGGGGGAAGUAUGAGGAGGGUAUUACUGGAGAGCUAUGGAAGACUGGGGAUCAAUACUCUGUCACCAGUCUGUUUAAGGUAUCAAAAGUGGACUGGGACAACGGCAACAUGUACAACUGCAGCGCCAGACACGCAUCUGAAAAGGAAGCACAGAUACCUUCUCAUCCUGUCUCCAAAUUAACAGGUACGACAACACCUACAGUCUCCAUCCAAACACCAUCUCCUGAAGACCUUGAUGGAAAAAGUGAAUUCUUCCUGCUCUGCCUGGUAACAGGCUUCUAUCCUGAGGAAAUAUACAUCAUGUGGCAAGUAGAUGGGGGCCAGUAUGAGGAGGGUAUUACUGGAGAGCCAUUCCGGACUGGGGAUACAUACUCUGUCACCAGUCUGUUUACGGUCUCAAAAGUGGACUGGGACAACGGCAAGAAGUACAACUGCAACGCCAGACACGCAUCUCAAAAGAAUAAGCAGAUACCUGCAUUGAAUCCUGUGCAGAAAUCAAUGGUCUCCCCCCCAGAACAGGAAUCGCCCCCAGAUCCUGCACUCAGCUGUAAUGAGGGAGGUGAGGAAGAGGAUGAGUUCAGCAGCCUGUGGUCCACAGCCUUCUCCUUCAUCAUCCUCUUCCUCUUCAGUCUGGUCUACAGUGCUUUUCUCAGCCUCAUCAAGCCUGUGUAA